GAGGCAGUAGGGAUGACCAGGGAUGUUCUCUGUUUAGUGAGUCCUCCAGAUCAGAGGCAGCAGGGAUGACCAGGGAUGUUCUCUGUUUAGUGAGUCGGCCAGAUCAGAGGCAGUAGGGAUGACCAGGGAUGUUCUCUGUUUAGUGAGUCCUCCAGAUCAGAGGCAGCAGGGAUGACCAGGGAUGUUCUCUGUUUAGUGAGUCCUCCAGAUCAGAGGCAGUAGGGAUGACCAGGGAUGUUCUCUGUUUAGUGAGUCCUCCAGAUCAGAGGCAGUAGGGACGACCAGGGAUGUUCUCUGUUUAGUGAGUCCUCCAGAUCAGAGGUAGUAGUGAUGACCAGGGAUGUUCUCUGUUUAGUGAGUCCUCCAGAUCAGAGGCAGUAGUGAUGACCAGGGAUGUUCUCUGUUUAGUGAGUCAGUCAGAUCAGAG
ensembl:lncRNA